CCUGUCUUCGUGGAGUUAAAGCUAGUGUGCACAGCGACAUUGUCAUGCUUGAACAGUGAUCUAGCGGUGUGGAGUUCAGUAGUGUGAUGGUGGAUGGAAAAAAGCUGUCCCUGAACCUGCUGGUUCUUUUGCUUGAUGGCAGCAAGCAGUGUUCCCUGGUGUGGCAGUUUCUACAGACUGUGGUGUAUGGACUUCCUGGGGAGGAGACACCAGCAGUAAGAGUUCUGCCAGCAUUCAUUUU